GGACGAACGCUGGCGGCGUGCUUAACACAUGCAAGUCGAGCGGUAAGGCCCUUUCGGGGGUACACGAGCGGCGAACGGGUGAGUAACACGUGGGUGACCUGCCCUCAGCUCUGGGAUAAGCCUGGGAAACCGGGUCUAAUACUGGAUAUGACUCCAUGACGCAUGUUGUGGGGUGGAAAGCCUUGUGCGGCUGAGGAUGGGCCCGCGGCCUAUCAGCUUGUUGGUGGGGUGANGGCCUACCAAGGCGACGACGGGUAGCCGGCCUGAGAGGGCGACCGGCCACACUGGGACUGAGACACGGCCCAGACUCCUACGGGAGGCAGCAGUGGGGAAUCUUGCGCAAGUGGGCGAAAGCCUGACGCAGCGACGCCGCGUGA
rnacentral:rRNA from 1 species